AUGGCGUCACUUUCUACUGUGUCUGUGAACAAACCAAGUUGCCGCUUGACAAAAUUGAAAUUUUUUGGCAUAAAAUAUUACCACCGGCUGCACUAAAUAGUCCCAAAGUGUAAAUGAAAGUGCCAGGAAUGAUUUUCAAUUGAAAUUGUGGCAGUCGUGUGCGCCAUUAUCAGUGCAAAUCAUAAACAAAAAACAAAAAGUUGAGCCAAACGAAAAGCGCACUGUGAAAAAAUGCGAAUGUCGUCGUCGUCGCUGUCGCUGUCGUCGCCGCUUUGAGUGUACGUGCGCCGCGUUUUGCACGGCAGCUGCGCUGCUACCACAAAUUAAAGGUGUGAAUUUAAUUUCAAUAAUUCGUGUGUAUUAACAUACAUAAAUUAAUGCAGCAAAGGUAUUGCCUGUCCAGACGACGUUGACAGGAAUGUGCUAAAUUACAUAAAUUUAAGUAAGUAAAUAACUGUGCCCUGUGUUCAAAUUCUGCGAGCGAGUGGGAGCAGCGAAAGAGCAAGAGAUUACGCGCAGUAGCACACACUUACACGCUCAAACAAAAGUACGGGAGAGCGGAAAACAAUCAUUUGUGUCAUAAGGUCAGACGUUCAUAGAGAGAAAAACAACUGUACAACAUGCACGCAUUAGACGACAAAUUGUUGACCGCGUUCUCUCCCAAUGGACAAGUCAACCAGCCAGCCAGAUAGUCGGUACAACAACCAACGAGCCAGUCAGUGCAUGUAUUGCCAAAAAAAAAAUAGAGAAAAAACGUUUAAACUAAAAGAAAAAUCAGGCUAAAACAAACUAGCGCACACACACACACGCUCCUACAUACACACACAUUCGCCCACACAGAGAGCAAGCCGAGCGUGAGAGCGAGCGAGAAUAUGUGAACAGUUUUCAUAAACAGCAAAUUCUCCAAUAGUCUCUCUCUCACACGAAAACGAAUUGAUGUGCCAUUCAGAGCAGCAAGCAACAUAGAAGCUAAGCGAGUAUUACAACAAUCACAAAAACAACAACAACAGCAACCACAAUAAGGCGCAUAUAGUAAAUGCAACAAUCCCUCCAUUAAACAACAACAAGAACAGCAGCAAAACAAAACGAAACAACACACAAAUAAUACACAGUGUAACGAAUUUAAAACAACAAGAACAACACGCAAUUAAUAGGCAACAAGUUGCAAGCAGCAACAAGCUUUGGAAAGAACCUUCUUCGUAGCCAGGCGUAACGCGUGUUAGAUGCCAAGAUAAGUCGCUAUCGCUUUAAUACCGCCAUCAACAUAACCCAACAACUACAGCAACAGCAGCAACAACAACAACAGGAACAGCAACAGCAUAAGGAAGCGCCCAGAAUACCGUUAAGCAGCAACCGUG